rfam:Cyanothece sp. PCC 7424, complete genome.
UUGAGCCGUGUACUGGGAAACUUGUACGCACGGUUCUUAGGCGGGAAAGAGAAAGCAAUUUCUCCGACCUAGCGGAU